rnacentral:tRNA from 1 species
CAGGAAAUAGUUUAAAUAAAAUAUUAAUUUUGGGGAUUAAUGAUAAAGACUUUUCUUUUUUCCUGA